GACGAACGCUGGCGGCGUGCCUAACACAUGCAAGUCGAACAGAACUGUUUUGAAAGAUUUCUUCGGAAUGAAUUUGAUUUAGUUUAGUGGCGGACGGGUGAGUAACGCGUGAGUAACCUGCCUUCAAGAGGGGGAUAACAUUCUGAAAAGAAUGCUAAUACCGCAUGACAUAUCGGAACCACAUGGUUUUGAUAUCAAAGAUUUUAUCGCUUGAAGAUGGACUCGCGUCCGAUUAGUUAGUUGGUGAGGUAACGGCUCACCAAGACCGCGAUCGGUAGCCGGACUGAGAGGUUGAACGGCCACAUUGGGACUGAGACACGGCCCAGACUCCUACGGGAGGCAGCAGUGGGGGAUAUUGCGCAAUGGGGGCAACCCUGACGCAGCAACGCCGCGUGGAGGAUGAAGGUUUUCGGAUUGUAAACUUCUUUUAUUAAGGACGAAA
rnacentral:rRNA from 1 species